UGCAAGUCGAGCGGUAGAGAGGUGCUUGCACCUCUUGAGAGCGGCGGACGGGUGAGUAAUGCCUAGGAAUCUGCCUGGUAGUGGGGGAUAACGUUCGGAAACGGACGCUAAUACCGCAUACGUCCUACGGGAGAAAGCAGGGGACCUUCGGGCCUUGCGCUAUCAGAUGAGCCUAGGUCGGAUUAGCUAGUUGGUGAGGUAAUGGCUCACCAAGGCGACGAUCCGUAACUGGUCUGAGAGGAUGAUCAGUCACACUGGAACUGAGACACGGUCCAGACUCCUACGGGAGGCAUCAGUGGGGAAUAUUGGACAAUGGGCGAAAGCCUGAUCCAGCCAUGCCGCGUGUGUGUAGAAGGUCUUCNGAUUGUUAUGCAC
rnacentral:rRNA from 1 species